rnacentral:rRNA from 1 species
UACGUAGGGGGCAAGCGUUGUCCGGAAUCAUUGGGCGUAAAGCGCGUGUAGGCGGCUCGGUAAGUCCGCUCUGAAAGCCCGGGGCUCAACCCCGGGAGGCGGGUGGAUACUGCUGAGCUCGAGUCCGGAAGAGGAGUGUGGAAUUCCUGGUGUAGCGGUGAAAUGCGCAGAUAUCAGGAGGAACACCAAUGGCGAAGGCAGCACUCUGGGACGGUACUGACGCUGAGGAGCGAAAGCUGGGGGAGCAAACAGG